AACCUCAGGUGGGGUAACCCGCCUGAGGGGAGAGCGGCGAACGGGUGAGUAACACGUGGGCAACCUGCCCCAGACACUGGGAUAACUCCGGGAAACCGGGGCUAAUACCGGAUACUCCGGCUGGAUCGCAUGGUCCGGUCGGGAAAGCUCCGACGGUCUGGGAUGGGCCCGCGGCCUAUCAGCUUGUUGGUGGGGUAACGGCCUACCAAGGCUAUGACGGGUAGCUGGUCUGAGAGGACUGACAGCCACACUGGAGCUGAGAUACGGUCCAGACUCCUACGGGAGGCAGCAGUGGG
rnacentral:misc_RNA from 1 species